ACGCUCGACACCUACCGGAGGCAGCAGUAGGGAAUCUUCCACAAUGGGCGCAAGCCUGAUGGAGCAACACCGCGUGAGUGAAGAAGGGUUUCGGCUCGUAAAGCUCUGUUGUUGGAGAAGAACGUGCGUGAGAGUAACUGUUCACGCAGUGACGGUAUCCAACCAGAAAGUCACGGCUAACUACGUGCAGCAGCCGCGGUAAUCUGAGCGGGCUGGCAAGGC
rnacentral:rRNA from 1 species